rnacentral:rRNA from 1 species
UUGGCAGGUUUUUAAAUUAUCUUUGGAGGUUGAGUAGUAAUUGAGAGCCCUCAUUAACAACUUUUACUGUAGGCGNAUGUAUGAUCGUUUAUUUUAUUCUUAAGGAUUGUAAUUUUAGAUUAACUAUUUUCUGUAAAAAUAGAUAAAUACUUGGUAUAUGUAAAAGAUUUAAUUUGACCUACAAUAUGUUAUCUUGUGGAUACUUUUUUAGUAGAAGGUUGAAAAUGUAAAAGACAGUAAGUUUUUUUUUAUAUAAAGCUGAAGUUUAUUUAAAAACGGUACAAAUCAUCCAUCAAUUGCCUUCAGGGGAGUAAGUUGUAGUAAAGUAGAGUUAGGGGAACCUGGCUCUA